UUUUCUUAAACAGGACUGUAGAAUACAGGUUGUUCUAUAGGUACCAUCACUACCCCCUCCACAUCGUUUUCUUAGUAUAGUGGAUAUUUACCUGGGCCUGCUUUAAUGGAAGUUUGAGCCCAGACGUCUCAACACAACUCCAAAGGUUGUGAAUGUCUGUGAUAUGUUGACGGAAAUUUAGAAGGCAAUAGGAGACACCCCCAUCUACAGUCUUCAACAAGGGACUCACCUGCUAAUCCCCUUGUAAACCUUGGCAUAAGAACCUUCUCCCAGCUUCUCCAAGUUCAAACCUACCACAGAGGACUCAGACCCUGCUGCAGAAGGGAGCGUCUGUCUGAAUUGCUUGGUUUACCAAUAAAGAAAGAUGCUCCUCCCGGGAUACAAAUACCUCGAACGCAG